GCCAGCCUGACAACCUCAGUUCAAUCCCCAGGUCCCCAGGUCCCCAGGUCCCCAGGUCCCACGGAGUAGGCGUGGUAAGAGAAGACCAAAUCCUGAGAGUUGUCCUCUCACCUCCCCACAGAACUAUAGCAUGAAGAAGAAACAGAUCAUCACUGUUCAGACAAAGGGCCAACAAGCCGACAUCUGUAUGGGACCAGCUCAUCCACACUUUACACCCAACAGGAUCAAACAGAACACCUGGGUUACAAAAAGUAUGCUGUAUUUUGGAUUUCACCAAUAAAAAAUUUUGAG